rnacentral:rRNA from 1 species
GGACGGGUGAGUAACGCGUGGGUAACCUGCCCCUCAGCCCGGGAUAACCGUCGGAAACGAUGGCUAAUACCGGAUGCUGUAUACAUAUCGCAUGAUGUGUAUACGAAAGUUCAGGCGCUGAGGGAUGGGCCCGCGUCCCAUUAGCUAGUUGGUGAGGUAACGGCUCACCAAGGCGACGAUGGGUAGCCGGCCUGAGAGGGUGACCGGCCACACUGGGACUGAGACACGGCCCAGACUCCUACGGGAGGCAGCAGUCGGGGAUCUUCCACAAUGGGCGAAAGCCUGAUGGAGCGACGCCGCGUGAGGGAUGAAGGUCUUCGGAUCGUAAGCCUCUGUCUUCCGGGACGACAAUGACGGUACCGGAGGAGGAAGCCACGGCUAACUACGUGCCAGCAGCCGCGGUAAUACGUAGGUGGCGAGCGUUGUCCGGAAUUACUGGGCGUAAAG